GACGAACGCUGGCGGCGUGCUUAACACAUGCAAGUCGAACGGAAAGGCCCUGCUUUUGUGGGGUGCUCGAGUGGCGAACGGGUGAGUAACACGUGAGUAACCUGCCCUUGACUUUGGGAUAACUUCAGGAAACUGGGGCUAAUACCGGAUAGGAGCUCCUGCUGCAUGGUGGGGGUUGGAAAGUUUCGGCGGUUGGGGAUGGACUCGCGGCUUAUCAGCUUGUUGGUGGGGUAGUGGCUUACCAAGGCUUUGACGGGUAGCCGGCCUGAGAGGGUGACCGGCCACAUUGGGACUGAGAGACGGCGCAGACUCGUACGGGAGGCAGCAGUGGGGAAUAUUGCACAAUGGGCGGAAGCCUGAUGCAGCAACGCCGCGUGCGGGAUGACGGCCUUCGGGUUGUAAACCGCUUUCGCCUGUGACGAAGCGUGAGUGACGGUAAUGGGUAAAGAAGCACCGGCUAACUACGUG
rnacentral:rRNA from 1 species